AGAGUUUGAUCCUGGCUCAGGAUGAACGCUGGCGGUAUGCUUAACACAUGCAAGUCGAACGGUGCUUUAGGGCACAGUGGCGGACGGGUGAGUAACGCGUGAGAAUCUGGCUUUAGGUCUGGGACAACCACUGGAAACGGUGGCUAAUACCGGAUGUGCCGAAAGGUGUAAGGUUAACUGCCUGAAGAUGAGCUCGCGUCUGAUUAGCUAGUUGGUGUGGUAAGAGCGCACCAAGGCGACGAUCAGUAGCUGGUCUGAGAGGACGAUCAGCCACACUGGGACUGAGACACGGCCCAGACUCCUACGGGAGGCAGCAGUGGGGAAUUUUCCGCAAUGGGCGAAAGCCUGACGGAGCAAUACCGCGUGAGGGAGGAAGGCUCUUGGGUCGUAAACCUCUUUUCUCAGGGAAGAACACAAUGACGGUACCUGAGGAAUAAGCAUCGGCUAACUCCGUGCCAGCAGCCGCGGUAAUACGGAGGAUGCAAGCGUUAUCCGGAAUGAUUGGGCGUAAAGCGUCCGCAGGUGGCUGUGUAAGUCUGCUGUUAAAGAGUCUAGCUCAACUAGAUAAGAGCAGUGGAAACUACACGGCUAGAGUACGUUCGGGGCAGAGGGAAUUCCUGGUGUAGCGGUGAAAUGCGUAGAGAUCAGGAAGAACACCAGUGGCGAAGGCGCUCUGCUAGGCCGUAACUGACACUGAGGGACGAAAGCUAGGGGAGCGAAUGGGAUUAGAUACCCUAGUAGUCC
rnacentral:rRNA from 1 species